rnacentral:tRNA from 1 species
UGGGAUGUGGCUCAGAGGUAGAAUGAUUGUCUACCAUGUAAUGAACACCCUAGGUUCAAUCCCUAGCACUUCAA